rnacentral:tRNA from 1 species
CGUAGCUCAGAUGGUAGAGUGCCCGGCUGAUAACCGGGUGGUCGUGGGUUCGAGUCCCACCGG